GACGAACGCUGGCGGCGUGCCUAAUACAUGCAAGUGGAACGCAUGAUUGAUACCGGAGCUUGCUCCACCAUUAAUCAUGAGUCGCGAACGGGUGAGUAACGCGUAGGUAACCUACCUCAUAGCGGGGGAUAACUAUUGGAAACGAUAGCUAAUACCGCAUAACAGUAUUUAUCGCAUGGUAAUUGCUUGAAAGGAGCAAAUGCUUCACUAUGAGAUGGACCUGCGUUGUAUUAGCUAGUUGGUGGGGUAACGGCUCACCAAGGCAUCGAUACAUAGCCGACCUGAGAGGGUGAUCGGCCACACUGGGACUGAGACACGGCCCAGACUCCUACGGGAGGCAGCAGUAGGGAAUCUUCGGCAAUGGGGGGAACCCUGACCGAGCAACGCCGCGUGAGUGAAGAAGGUUUUCGGAUCGUAAAGCUCUGUUGUAAGAGAAGAACGUGUGUGAGAGUGGAAAAUUCACACAGUGACGGUAACUUACCAGAAAGGGACGGCUAACUACGUGCCAGCAGCCGCGGUAAUACGUAGGUCCCGAGCGUUGUCCGGAUUUAUUGGGCGUAAAGCGAGCGCAGGCGGUUUGAUAAGUCUGAAGUAAAAGGCUGUGGCUUAACCAUAGUAUGCUUUGGAAACUGUCAAACUUGAGUGCAGAAGGGGAGAGUGGAAUUC
rnacentral:rRNA from 1 species